rnacentral:rRNA from 1 species
UACGGAGGAUGCGAGUGUUAUCCGGAUUUAUUGGGUUUAAAGGGUGCGCAGGCGGCGUGUCAAGUCAGCGGUAAAAUGUCGGGGCUCAACCCCGGCCGGCCGUUGAAACUGGCGUGCUCGAGUUGGAGAGAAGUAUGCGGAAUUCGUGGUGUAGCGGUGAAAUGCAUAGAUAUCACGAAGAACCCCGAUUGCGAAGGCAGCAUACCGGCUCCACACUGACGCUGAGGCACGAAAGCGUGGGUAUCGAACAGG